rnacentral:rRNA from 1 species
AGGGAUCAUUACCGAGUUUACAACUCCCAAACCCCUGUGAACAUACCACUUGUUGCCUCGGCGGAUCAGCCCGCUCCCGGUAAAACGGGACGGCCCGCCAGAGGACCCCUAAACUC